rnacentral:lncRNA from 1 species
UAUUUUAAAAAAUGUGACGAAUAUGGCCUUAGAGAAAGAAAGGUUCCUAAACCUUGCCCGACUAGGUGGAAUUACAUAUACGAAAGUUUAGUAGUAGCAUACGAAUAUAGAAACCCAAUUAAUGCUACGUUUAAUUCUCGGGUAGGUGGUGAGGAUGAUAAUGAAAUGCUAACUACCCAAGAUUAGACUAAUGUUAAAAUUCUUUUAGAUUUUUUAGAACAUUUUCAAGUGGCUACAAGUGCUUUUUCUGGACAAUAUUAUCCGACUAUUUCUAACAUGUUUAGUUUAUAUUGCCACACUAGCUGAUUUGUUUAUUUAUUUUAGCGAGGGUGGGGAUAUUUAUGAACUUGCAAUAAAUGAAAUGAAACAAAAGUUUAAAAAAUAUUUUUUCCCAAUCCCUCCUAUUUUUGGUGUAGCU